AGAGCCCAGUGAUCCUCCGGCGGCUGGAAAACCCCAGAGGGGCCCCUUUGCCCAGCUGAGUUCUGGGAAGCUUCACGCUGAAGUCCCACCAGUCUGGCCUCCAUCCUUCCCUUUCUGGCGCUCCACCAACACCCUCCUGCUUCUGCACAGCCCUCAGCUCCAGCUCAGACCCUCCCGGCCCUCCCUGCUCACACACUCAGCCACAGAUCCCUGAAGAGAGCAGACAGAUGUCCACAGGCAUGGGGAUGGUAGACGGUGGUGUCGUGGCCCCUGGGGGCCCCCAGCCCACCUGCAUCGACGUGCACAUCCACCAGGAGUCAGCUCUGGGCAAGCUCCUGCUGAGCGGGUGCUCCCUGCUGCGGCCCUCCUCCCAGACCCUGGGCAGCAGGCGGCUGCUGGUGGCCUCCUGGGCGGUGCAGAUCGUGCUGGGGGUGUUGAGUGGGGUCCUAGGAGGAUUCCUCCAUUUCUUCUACUACUCCCCUGUGCGGAACUCGGGAGCUGCCAUCUGGACAGGCGUGGUGGCUGUGCUGGCUGGAACCAUUGCCUUCAUUUAUGAGAAACGAGGUGGCUUUUACUUGGCCCAGCUGAGGACCCUGCUCGCCCUUGCAGCUUUCUCCACGGCCACUGCUGCCGUUGUCAUUGGGGCUCGUAAUUUCUAUGAGUAUCGCUUUGAGUCUGAGGAUAUCUGUGAUAUCUCUCCCUCGGGAAGCUGGCCCACCUCGGCCCCCCACACUCCAAGUCCAGAAGAAGUCAGAAGGCUGCACCUAUGCCUCUCCUACCUGAACAUGCUGAAGGCCCUGUUCAUAAGCAUCCGGGCCAUGCUGUUGGGUAUCUGGAUCCUGCUGCUUCUGGCAUCUCUGGCCCCUCUUUGCCUGUACUGCUGGAGAAGACUCCGACCUAAGGAGCCCUGUCUCCUCUGACCUCCUGCCUCGCUCUCAGGAGGACUCUGUGACUACACCAAGAUGAUCCAGGACAAUCCUCCAUCUCAAGAAAUAAUACAUGCCCAUUGGGGAAAGUUGGGAAAUAUGGAAAAUUAUAAAAAGAAGUCAAGAAGUACUCUUGAAACCGAAAACAAAGAGGUUAAAAACAUCUUUCCUGGUCUAGAAGAACAAAACCUUUGAGGAAAGCUUCGUUAACUGCAGCUGUGCACGUUCAGCAUAGUCAACCGUUGUUUGAAACUAACCAGGUCUUUCUGUCCCUCCUUUGUCUAUGAGUGAGCUGUCUUUCCCAGGAAGUCAAGGUCCAGAUGUCAAGAUUCAGCCUCACAAGGCCAAAUGCAGGCUGAAGAUGAAAAGUCCAAACAGUCAAGGGAAAAGAAAUUCAGUCUUCAGGGCUGAACACAGGUGGUGGGAAGGUGCCAACCAGCAAGGCCAUAUGCUCCCCCUCCUCUGCCUAAAACCCUAGAUAAAAACCACUGCCUUUUUCCCUUCAAGGAGGUGGAUCUGAGUUCUAACUCCCAUCUCUUCAUCUAGCUGACUUUCAAUAAUAGUAAAUCUCUUUCCUUGUCACAAGCCUGGUGUUUCAGUCUUCUCUUUAAUGGCCCUACUAAGCAGCAGGUAAACGAACUUGUGUUUGGGUUCAAUAACAAUUUGGCAAGCCAGCCAGGAGGCUCUUGCCCAUGGCUCCGCAGCCCCAAGCCAACUGGCAUUUCCUGGGAAGCAGUCCAGCAGCUGCCUAGGUGAUUUGCCCUAGAGACUGUCCCCAGCACUUUCCAUCUGACGCAGCACCGUUGGCCCUAGGCGCAUUUUUCUUGUGGCAAGGAAACAGGCUCUAUAUUUGUUUGUUUGUUUGUUUAUUUGUUUUGGCUUCUGGUUUGGAACGAACGUCCUUUUGAAUUUGAAAACUUGUGAAGAGUGAGUAUGCUUGUAUUCAUGGCAAUAUAGUUAUUUGCAUAAGUUCAAGAAGAAUCUGUUCUACUUAUACAAGGAAACAAUUGGAAACACUGAUUACAUUAUCAAGGCUUUGACUGGAACGUCAUAUCUAAAAACAUGCAAACUCAGAUAUGACCAGAUAGCUUUUGAGGAACAAAGAUCGGACUUUAUGGAAUAAAGCCAUUUGGAAAUAUUGGCCUGUUACCUUGUUUACAGGGUGCCCAGCAACCUUACCAGUACUAAAACCACCAUUUUUGCUGAAGCCCUGCCAACUGAAGCUGGACAACUUGAUAUAAACCUAAGAGAGCACCAUGCUAGCCCAUGUUUGGACACUCUUCAUGCCUGUUGCUUUGUAAGCCACUCAAAAGGUUCACCUGAAUGCCUGAUGACAUCAUUGGAGACAUUUUAAACCUCAGGGGAUGCUUCAACGCUGACAUCUAGAGAUUGUCUUAACUGACCAUCCCCUGGACUCAAAAUUGGCUUAUAAUUUUCUCCAACCAUUAACCUUUGUUCUUCUAGAAAUGCUUCUUAUUAAAUAUCUGGUUACUUGUUUACACAAUGUAGGCCUAACUUUGGGAGACCCUUUCUAAGUUCUAGAGAUGACCCAAAAGACCUGGAGGGAACUCAAAUUAAAGAGCUAAACACUGUGAGAUGUAUCUCGACACCAUCUUUGUUGUAGAAACUGGGUCCUAUUGAAAUCCUGGAUUUCAUCCCUGCUGGAUGGGACCACAGGAAAAACGCCACAAGAAACACGAACCAUGCCACAGAAAAACAUCACAACUGGGAUCACCCAAACCUUGGAUGACUUCAUACUCUAGACACUGACUUUUCUGAAUGGACAAAUGAACCCCUGACAGACUGAAAGCUGCUGUAUGCUAUACAGAAGAUGGUUUCCUAAGAUAAGUAAUAAAUGACUCCCAGGUUAUUACAUAA